rnacentral:rRNA from 1 species
CCUACGGGAGGCUGCAGUGGGGGAUAUUGCACAAUGGGGGGAACCCUGAUGCAGCGACGCCGCGUGGGUGAAGGAGUGCUUCUGCAUUUAAAGCUCUAUCGGCAGGGAAGAAGCAAGACGGUACCUGACUUAGAUGCCCCGGCUAACUACGUGCCAGCAGCCGCGGUAAUACGUAGGGGGCGAGCGUUAUCCGGAUGCACUGGGUGUAAAGGGAGCGUAGACGGCCAAGCAAGCCAGGGGUGAAAGUCCGGGGCCCAACCCCGAGACUGCCCUUGAAACUGCAGGGCUUGAGUGCGGGAGGGGCAGGCGGAAUGCGUGGUGUAGCGGUGAAAUGCGUAGAUAUCAGGAGGAACACCGGCGGCGAAGGCGGCCUACUGGACCGCGACUGACGUUGAGGCACGAAAGCGUGGGGAGCGAACAGGAUUAGAUACCCUAGUAGUC